rnacentral:rRNA from 1 species
GACGAACGCUGGCGGCGUGCUUAACACAUGCAAGUCGAACGAUGAAGAAGAGAAACGCGAACUUCGGUUCAAAUUUCACUUCGGAUUAGUGGCAGACGGGUGAGUAACGCGUGAGCAACCUACCUCUUACAAAGGGAUAGCCUCGGGAAACCGUGAUUAAUACCAUAUGACACAUUCAUAAGGCAUCUUAAGAAUGUUAAAGCUACGGCGGUAAGAGAUGGGCUCGCGUCCCAUUAGCUAGUUGGUGAGGUAACGGCCCACCAAGGCGACGAUGGGUAACCGGCCUGAGAGGGUGAACGGUCACAUUGGAACUGAGACACGGUCCAAACUCCUACGGGAGGCAGCAGUGGGGAAUACUGCACAAUGGAGGGAACUCUGAUGCAGCGACGCCGCGUGAGCGAUGAAGGAAUUCGUUUAGUAAAGCUCUGUUCUAUGGGAAGAAAAGGACUGUACCAUAGGAGAAAGCCCCGGCUAAAUACGUG